UCCUACGGGGGGCAGCAGUGAGGAAUAUUGGUCAAUGGUCGGGAGACUGAACCAGCCAAGCCGCGUGAGGGAUGAAGGUACAGAGUAUCGUAAACCUCUUUUGUCAGGGAACAAAGGCGGGGACGUGUCCCCGGAUGAGUGUACCUGAAGAAAAAGCAUCGGCUAACUCCGUGCCAGCAGCCGCGGUAAUACGGAGGAUGCGAGCGUUAUCCGGAUUUAUUGGGUUUUAAGGGUGCGCAGGCGGUCUGUUAAGUCAGCGGUCAAAGCCCGGGGCUCAACCCCGGCCCGCCGUUGAAACUGGCAGG
rnacentral:rRNA from 1 species